rnacentral:lncRNA from 1 species
UUCUGGAUACCUCCAAUCUCUUGAAAUAAUGAGCACUGAGAAAGGAAAUCGUGGGUUGUUUCUGUUGAACGAUGUAGAAGUAAUCCUUGCUUUUCCUUCAAGUAUUUCUCGUAGAUCGACAGAUAGACAGACCAAUUGGUAGAGAAAGAGGACGAGAGAGAAUGGGAAAAACGAAUAGAGGCAUAAAAGGAAACUGAGCAAGCUAACAGGAAAACUCCAUUCAAGACAUCCGUCCUCAGGGCAUCAGCGGUCUAUCGGUUUGGCGGGAGGAUGCGAAGGCGUCAACUGAGAUAGCAAGCGUCUACCUCCUGACCUGGAAACGGCAUUUAGUAAAGCAGAGCCCUCGUAGCCUGUCUUGAUUUUCGUUAGCAUCUUGGCUGCAUCGGCGGACGAUGACGACAGUAACAGAAUUGAGAGCAAAAUUGCCAGCACGGCCCCUCGUUUUGCCUGCAUCGUCUGCCUCUCCACAAGCGCGGCCCUUCCCUCUUCCUCUCGUAUCACUCCCGA